rnacentral:rRNA from 1 species
ACGAACGCUGGCGGCGUGCUUAACACAUGCCAGUCGAACGGAAAGGCCCCUUCGGGGGUACUCGAGUGGCGAACGGGUGAGUAACACGUGAGUAACCUGCCCUUGACUUCGGGAUAACUUCAGGAAACUGGGGCUAAUACCGGAUAGGAAUCCUUGCUGCAUGGUGGGGGUUGGAAAGCUUCGGCGGUUUUGGAUGGACUCGCGGCUUAUCAGCUUGUUGGUGGGGUAGUGGCUUACCAAGGCUUUGACGGGUAGCCGGCCUGAGAGGGCGACCGGCCACAUUGGGACUGAGAUACGGCCCAGACUCCUACGGGAGGCAGCAGUGGGGAAUAUUGCACAAUGGGCGGAAGCCUGAUGCAGCAACGCCGCGUGCGGGAUGACGGCCUUCGGGUUGUAAACCGCUUUCAGCAGGGGCGAAGCUUGUGGUGACGGUACCUGCAGAAGAAGCACCGGCUAACUACGUG